GACGAACCGAGCGAACGUUGUUCGGAAUCACUGGGCUUAAAGGGCGCGUAGGCGGGCAUUCAAGUCCGUGGUGAAAUCCGGCAGCUCAACUGUCGAACUGCCGCGGAUACUGGGUGUCUCGAGGGAGGUAGGGGCGUGCGGAACUAUUGGUGGAGCGGUGAAAUGCGUUGAUAUCAAUAGGAACUCCGGUGGCGAAGGCGGCGACGCUGGACCUCUUCUGACGCUGAGGCGCGAAAGCCAGGGGAGCAAACGGG
rnacentral:rRNA from 1 species